AUCAAUAAGCGGAGGAAAAGAAACCAACAGGGAUUGCCUCAGUAACGGCGAGUGAAGCGGCAACAGCUCAAAUUUGAAAUCUGGCCCCCCGGGUCCGAGUUGUAAUUUGCAGAGGAUGCUUUUGGCGCGGUGCCUUCCGAGUUCCCUGGAACGGGACGCCAUAGAGGGUGAGAGCCCCGUACGGUUGGACACCAAGCCUGUGUAAAGCUCCUUCGACGAGUCGAGUAGUUUGGGAAUGCUGCUCAAAAUGGGAGGUAUAUUUCUUCUAAAGCUAAAUACCGGCCAGAGACCGAUAGCGCACAAGUAGAGUGAUCGAAAGAUGAAAAGCACUUUGAAAAGAGGGUUAAACAGCACGUGAAAUUGUUAAAAGGGAAGCGCUUGUGACCAGACUUGCGCCCGGUGAAUCACCCAGCUCUCGCGGCUGGGGCACUUUGCCGGCUCAGGCCAGCAUCAGCUCGCCGUCGGGGACAAAAGCUUCGGGAACGUAGCUCUCUUCGGGGAGUGUUAUAGCCCGCUGCACAAUACCCUUCGGCGGGCUGAGGUACGCGCUCCGCAAGGAUGCUGGCGUAAUGGUCAUCAGCGACCCGUCUUGAAACACGGACCAAGGAGUCAACCUUAUGUGCG
rnacentral:rRNA from 1 species